rnacentral:misc_RNA from 1 species
GAACGCACCUUGCGCUCCUCGGUGUUCCGAGGAGCAUGCCUGUUUGAGUGUCAGUAAAUUCUCAACCCCUCUUGAUUUGUUUCGAGGGGGAGCUUGGAUUGUGGGGGCUGCCGGAGACUAGGACUCGUCCUUGACUCGGGCUCUCCUUAAAUGCAUCGGCUUGCGGUCGACUUUCGACUUUGCGCGACAAGGCUUUCGGCGUGAUAAUGAUCGCCGUUCGCUGAAGCGCAUGAAUGAAGGUUCCGUGCCUCUAAUUCGUCGACUUAGUAUCUCUUCCGAGAGAAAACGUCUUCUUCAUUGACUUUUGACCUCAAAUCAGGUAGGACUACCCGCUGAACUU